rnacentral:tRNA from 1 species
GCAGCUGUGGCGGAAUUGGCAUACGCGCAUGAUUCAGGUUCAUGUGUCCAUUAUGGACUUGCGGGUUCAAGUCCCGCCAGCUGCA